CUUGACUGGUGAUGACAGCAUGCAGUAUCUCAAGUGCCUGAUUACAGUCGGCCAAUCAUGCACACACACAAAAUGCCGGAGGAACUCAGCAGGUCAGGCGGCAUCUACAGUCUGGAAUUGAAUAAACAGUUGACAUUUCAGGUCUCGACCCUUCUUCAGGACUGAAAAUGAAGGGGGAAUAUGCCAGAAUACAAAGAUGGGGCAUGAAUAUUUUCUUUAUCUGAAAUGAAGGCACUAUUAUAUUGUUGAAAGUG